AGCAGCCGCGGUAAUUCCAGCUCCAAUAGCGUAUAUUAAAGUUGUUGCAGUUAAAAAGCUCGUAGUUGAAUUUCGGGAUCAAUACGUCGGUCGUGCUUCGGUACGUACUGGCGUCAUUGAUUUCUCCCUUCUGACGAACCACGAUGUCAUUAACUUGGUGUCAUGGGAAAUCAGGACUGUUACUUUGAAAAAUUAGAGUGUUUAAAGCAGGCUCACGCUUGAAUACAUUAGCAUGGAAUAAUGAAAUAGGACGUUCGAUCCUAUUUUGUUGGUUUCUAGGAUUGACGUAAUGAUUAAUAGGGAUAGUUGGGGGCAUUAGUAUUCAAUUGUCAGAGGUGAAAUUCUUGGAUUUAUUG
rnacentral:rRNA from 1 species